rnacentral:ncRNA from 1 species
GCAGAGUAGGUUUGUGUGCGUCAAGUGCCGGCUGAACAGGGAGUUGUCAGCCGGACGAAAGAACAGAGAGGUUCGUUGAAGAAACUUUCUUUUCUGCGGUACACAGGCCGCAUCCCGCUGC